CUCAGGCUCACCCACUCCUAACCACGAGCUGAAUCUUCUGUUCCCUUGCUGACAGCGCUUGUGCUUUUCUUUGGCUGUGCUCUCACCAAGCACCCACAGCACAGCUCCAAGCCCUGCCAUUGCAAAAGAUACAGACUCCUGAGUAUUACGGAUGGGUGAGAGCUGGAUUUUUUUUUCUUAAUAUUAUUUUUAUUUUUUUUUUGUCUACAGCAGAAGAGAUGGGUUUGAAGAAUUCUUCUUUCUCAAAAUGGAGCAAAGGAAUUCAAUUUUUUCUCCCAAGUUUCCUAUGAGACCAAACUAAACCUCCAAAAAACACCUGUAAAAAAACCCUUCUAGAACUGCUCUCAAUGUUUCAUUUUGAUCAAAAUGCAAAGUCUCAUUCUUACUCCACCUUGAAAAUACUUUUUUUUUUUUUUCCCAUGUACUAUAAAACAAAGAUAAAAUCCUGGUAAACUUUUCAACCUGAAAAACUGAAACAUUUCCUUCCAGGAAUUUCAGGACACUUCAGUCAUUCCCAGAAGCACAGAUCCUUCCAAGUAACUCGGGGAGAGUGGAGCCUUGCUGUCAAAGGAGCAUGUUAGCAAAACUCCCCAAAAUGUCUCUGUUUAUCUCCUCAAGCAGACACUGCAGAGGGAAAGCAAGAGUCUAACCACACCAUAACAUGAAGAAAGAAGAGAGAUGAACUACAAUAAUUCUCUUUUCCUCUUGCUAGCCCUAGAAUUUAAUUUCCGGAUUUUAGACUCUGCUAAAGUCUAAACAUAGCAACAUGGCAUUGAAAUGCACCUUUUCUAAAUUUUAGAGAAUCUCUAGUCUUGCGUUUAAAGCAAAUAUAAUGCCUAUUCUGCAUAUCUUCAAAAUAAAUCAACAAGCAAGCAA